AAACUACUCCCUCCGUUCUAAAUUACUCGUCGCAGAAAUGAAUGUAUCUAGAACUAAAAUACAUCUAGAUACAUCCAUUUCUGUGACGAGUAAUUUAGAACGGAGGGAGUAGAUC
rnacentral:pre_miRNA from 1 species